GAGAGUGUUGUUGUGAGCUCGGUUGUGUCCUCAGUGACCCGUAGUAAAGCCCAGCAAAUCACAGCCCAGCUGCAGCCCUUCUUCACCAGCUACAGGAAGGCCUUGGAGGACUUCACCCGGCGUAACCAUGACAACGGCCCCGCGGUUGUGAAGGCAACCUGGGCUGUAUCCCACAGUUCAGGAGCUUCCUGGAGAAGGAGGACAACGCCCUGUCAGGUGACCAGGGGGCAGGGCUGCAGAGCAGCGUGAGGGCCCUGGAGGACUGGGGAUACAGCGUCCUCACCGGCCCCAUACACCUGGAGACAAAGGUUACACACCUACCUACCUCUAUUCACCUGCCCCAUACACCUGGAGACAAAGGUUACAUAUCUACCUACCUCUAUCAGGGUGUCCGCGCUAAAUUUAACAUUUAAGGCCUUAAAACGUCUUAAAUUCUUUACAAAUGUCAUAUGCUGGUCUUAAAUACUGUAACUCAAGGUCUUAAAUUUGUCGGGGCAGGACUAUUUUUUUAUUUA